GUGAACUAGAUUCGACGGGUGACUAAAGGCUAUUCUUUUGUUCGGGAUUGUUCCACCGUAAGGGGCUAAUUUAUAAUUGCUAACGAAAGUUACGCUAUUGCUGCAUAAUUAACUUAGGUUAAUUAUAGAAGCACGGUCUGGGGCACCGGGUAACAGAACGCCCCUACA
rnacentral:tmRNA from 1 species